rnacentral:rRNA from 1 species
GUCCUUUUGAUUAUAAUUUAAGGUCUAACCUGCCCACUGAAGUUUUAAAUGGCCGUGGUAUUUUGACCGUGCUAAGGUAGCAUAAUCAUUAGUUUUUUAAUUAAGAACUGGAAUGAAAGGUUGGAUAAAAAAAUAACUGUCUCUGUUAAAUUUAAUUAAAAUUUUAUUUUUAAGUAAAAAAGCUUAAGUUUAUUUAAAAGACGAGAAGACCCUAUAGAGUUUUAUUAUUUAAUAAAAAUUAUAUUUUAGUAUUUAUUUAUUUAUUUUAUUUAAUAAUUUAAUUGGGGUGAUUGAAAAAUUUAAUAAACUUUUUUUAUUUAAUAACAUUAAUUAAUGAUAAAAUGAUCCAAUAUUUUUGAUUAUAAGAUAAAAUUACCUUAGGGAUAACAGCGUAAUUUUUUUAUAAAGUUCAUAUUAAAAGAAAAGAUUGCGA